ensembl:lncRNA
GUUGAGGCCCUGAACCUCUGGGAAGCGAACCAGGAGACGAACCCAACCAGAGUAACAAGCCUCUUCAAGGCUGUGAGGAAAUGAAGGUUAGAAAGGAUACCACAUCUCUGAGGGCAGCCAUGAGCCAGGUGGCUGGGCCAGGUAAACUCAAGUGUGCCCUCCAUAGCCUACAGGCUGUACCACCAUCCCCACCUGAGGAGGAAUCAGAGGCUCAUAAAGGAGAUGGUGAAGGACAGGGAAGCCUGGUGUGCUGCAGUCCACGGGGUGGCAAAGAGUCAGACUUGAAUGAGCAAC